GCUAUUCCCUCUGUGGAUACUAUCAUUAGCCUGGAAAAAGGCCUGUGUAUAGGUCAAAACACAUGUUGGCUGUGUUGAUCUUUGACAUUUGGACAUACUAAACGAUUUUGUUUAAGUAUAAAUUGUCACAGGGCUGAUUCUAAACCAAGUUAGUAUAAUUUCUUCCAAUUAAUUAUUGAAGCGCAAACGGUUCAGUGCUAAUUUAAUGGUUGACUUUUAUAUGUCGCUGGGUAUUGCCACACCCUUGCUCUGACAUCUGCAGCACCUCUCAUAAAAUAUCUUUCUUUUAUCACUCUGGCAGAGUAGCACAAACAUGUGGUUUCCCGCCUCUCUUUUUUAUACUUUCUGUGCCUACCAUGGUGACCACGGGUAACAGGGAAUCAAGGUUUGAUUCCGGAGCGGAAACCUGAGAAACGGCUACCACAUCCAAGAAAGGGAUCAGGCGCACAAAUUAUCCACUCAAGACUCGGGGAGGUAGUGAUGAAAAAUAACAAUACAGGACUCUUUCGAGGCACUGUAAUUGGAAUGAGUACACUUUAAAUCCUUUAACGAUGAUCCAUUGGAGGGAAAGUCUGAUGCCUGCAGCCACAGUAUUUCCAGCUACAAAAGCUUAUAUUAAAGUCACUGUGCUUAAAUAGUUUGUAGUUGGAUCUUGGAAUUGAGCUGGCGGUCCACCGCAUGGCGAGCUACCACCUGUCCCAGCGCCUGCCUCUCGGCGACCCCUUGAUGGUCUUGACUGAGUGUCCUGGGGGCACGUAGAAUUUACUUUGAAACGAUUAGAUUGUUCAAAACAGGCCAGUCACCGGAAUACUUCAGCUAGGAAUAAGGCAAUAGGACUCUGGUUCAAUUUUGUUGGUUUUCGAACUUUGGCCAUGAUUAAGAUGGACAGUGGGGGGCAGAGGUGACAUUCUUGGACCGGAGCAAGACGAACCAAAGCAAAAGCAUUUGCCAAGAAUCUUUUCAAUAAUGAAAAACGAACGUCAGAGGCUCGAAGACUAUCAGAUACAGUCGUACUUUCGUCCAUAAACAAUGCUGACUAGCAAUAUGGCAGCGUUAUUCCAAUGACACACGGAGCAGCUUCUGGGAAACCAAAGUCUUUGGGUUCAAGGGGGAGUUAUGGUUGCAAAGCUGAAACUUAAAGGAAUUGUUGGAAGGGGACCACCAGAAGUGGGGCAUGUGACUUAAUUUGACUUAACACAGGAAACCUCGCACAGUCCAGACAUGGAAAAGAUUGAUAGCUCUUUCACAAUUCUGUGUGGGGGUGGGGGGAGGGGGUCCAAGGCUGUUUUUAGUUGGUGGAGUGAUUUUUCUGGUUAAUUCUGAUAACGAAUGAGACUCUUCCAUGCUAACUAGUUACGCGACACCCCACCCCCACAGUCGGCAUUCAACUUCUUUGAGGGAAAAGAUCAAGCAAUAACAGGUCAAUGAUGCCCUUAGAUGUCUGGGGCUGCACGUGUGUUACACUGAAUGGAUCAGCACAGUGUCUACCCUUCGCCGACAGAUUGCGGGUAACCCGCUGAACCCCAUUCAUGAAAGGGAUUGGGGAUUCCAAUUAUUUGCAAUGAAAAAGAAAUUCCCUGUAAAUGCGAGUAAUAAGCUUGCGAGAUUUAGUAUCUACCCUUUGUGCACACCGCCAGUCACUACUACCAAUUGGACAAUUAAGUGAGGUCCGCAGAUCGGCUCCACCGGAGACAGCAAUGGCCCUGGGGGAGCACUCAGAUGACAACCAAACUUUUCCUCCUUGUAGCAUUUAUGACAAGGUGGCUUUUCUCCAAAGGGUGGUUU
rnacentral:rRNA from 1 species